CAGUAGCCACGGUAAUACGGAGGAUCCAAGCGUUAUCCGGAAUCAUUGGGUUUAAAGGGUCCGUAGGCGGUCUUGUAAGUCAGUGGUGAAAGCCCAUCGCUCAACGGUGGAACGGCCAUUGAUACUGCAGGACUUGAAUUAUUGGGAAGUAACUAGAAUAUGUAGUGUAGCGGUGAAAUGCUUAGAGAUUACAUGGAAUACCAAUUGCGAAGGCAGGUUACUACCAAUUGAUUGACGCUGAUGGACGAAAGCGUGGGUAGCGAACAGGAUUAGAGACCCCCGUAGUCCCUGUCUCUUAUAC
rnacentral:rRNA from 1 species